AGCACAGUCACAUCUCUCACUUCCUAAUUCACCUUACCGUCUGCCCACGGAAUAGCCAUCAGGUAGAUAGCCACUGGCUUAUUUAACCACUAACAAAACUCAUAAGCCUGUCCAAAUCCAACCACAAAGUACCAACCAUGGUACGAGACCACAGCUGAUACCCGGGCUCUGUUUGGCGCCAAGAAUGGGUAUUAUGGGUUUAUGGUAAAUAAUACAGUAGUUGAUUUAAUUAACCAAUUAAUGGCAUCCAUUGGCCCUCCUAAAUUUUGAUGAAGCUUUUGAUCCUCAAGAACAUUGCCAACAUUCCACUGGUUAGGUUAA